UACGUAGGGCGCAAGCGUAUCCGGAAUUAUUGGGCGUAAAGAGCUCGUAGGCGGUUUGUCGCGUCUGCCGUGAAAGUCCGGGGCUCAACUCCGGAUCUGCGGUGGGUACGGGCAGACUAGAGUGAUGUAGGGGAGACUGGAAUUCCUGGUGUAGCGGUGAAAUGCGCAGAUAUCAGGAGGAACACCGGUGGCGAAGGCGGAUCUCUGGGCCAUUACUGACGCUGAGGAGCGAAAGCGUGGGGAGCGAACAGG
rnacentral:rRNA from 1 species